CGGGACGGGUGAGUAAUGUCUGGGAAACUGCUGAUGAGGGGGAGUAACUACUGGAAACGGUAGCUAUACCGCAUAACGUCGCAAGACCAAAGAGGGGGACCUUCGGGCCUCUUGCCAUCGGAUGUGCCCAGAUGGGAUUAGCUAGUAGGCGGGGUAACGGCUCACCUAGGCGACGAUCCCUAGCUGGUCUGAGAGGAUGACCAGCCACACUGGAACUGAGACACGGUCCAG
rnacentral:rRNA from 1 species